rnacentral:rRNA from 1 species
AUUGAACGCUGGCGGCAUGCUUUACACAUGCAAGUCGAACGGUAGGGUAGCAAUACCUGAGAGUGGCGAACGGGCGAGUAAUGUAUCGGAACGUGCCCAAGAGUGGGGGAUAGCCCGGCGAAAGCCGGAUUAAUACCGCAUACGAUCUAUGGAUGAAAACGGGGGACCGCAAGGCCUCGUGCUCCUGGAGCGGCCGAUAUCAGAUUAGGUAGUUGGUGGGGUAAAGGCUCACCAAGCCAACGAUCUGUAGCUGGUUUGAGAGAACGACCAGCCACACUGGGACUGAGACACGGCCCAGACUCCUACGGGAGGCAGCAGUGGGGAAUUUUGGACAAUGGGCGCAAGCCUGAUCCAGCAAUGCCGCGUGCAGGAUGAAGGCCUUCGGGUUGUAAACUGCUUUUGUACGGAGCGAAAAGGCUUCUUCUAAUACAGGAGGCUCAUGACGGUACCGUAAGAAUAAGCACCGGCUAACUACGUGCCAGCAGCCGCGGUAA